GAUGAACGCUGGCGGCGUGCCUAAUACAUGCAAGUCGAGCGAACAGACGAGGAGCUUGCUCCUCUGACGUUAGCGGCGGACGGGUGAGUAACACGUGGAUAACCUACCUAUAAGACUGGGAUAACUUCGGGAAACCGGAGCUAAUACCGGAUAAUAUAUUGAACCGCAUGGUUCAAUAGUGAAAGACGGUUUUGCUGUCACUUAUAGAUGGAUCCGCGCCGCAUUAGCUAGUUGGUAAGGUAACGGCUUACCAAGGCAACGAUGCGUAGCCGACCUGAGAGGGUGAUCGGCCACACUAGAGGUGAGACACGGUCAAGACUCCUACGGGAGGCAGCAGUAGGGAAUCUUCCGCAAUGGGCGAAAGCCUGACGGAGCAACGCCGAGUGAAUGAUGAAGGUCUUCGGAGCGUAAAACUCUGUUAUUAGGGAAAAACAAAUGUGUAAGUAACUAUGCACGUCUUGACGGUACCUAAUCAGAAAGCCACGGCUAACUACGUG
rnacentral:rRNA from 1 species